rnacentral:rRNA from 1 species
AAUUUACUGGGCGUAAAGCGCAUGCAGGUGGUUUGUUAAGUCAGAUGUGAAAGCCCGGGGCUCAACCUCGGAAUUGCAUUUUGAAACUGGCAAACUAGAGUACUGUAGAGGGGGUAGAAUUUCAGGUGUAGCGGUGAAAUGCGUAGAGAUCUGAAGGAAUACCGGUGGCGAAGGCGGCCCCCUGGACAGAUACUGACACUCAGAUGCGAAAGCGUGGGGAGCAAACAGGAUUAGAUACCCUGGUAG